AAUCAACGCUGGCGGCGUGCCUCAGACAUGCAAGUCGAACGAUUAAAGCUCUCUUCGGAGAGUGUAUAGAGUGGCGCACGGGUGAGUAACACGUAAGUAAUCUACCUUUGAGUGGGAUAACGUCCGGAACGGACGCUAAUACCGCAUAAUGCAGCGGCAUCGCAAGAUGACAGUUAGUUAAAGUAUUUAUCGCUUGAAGAGGAGCUUGCGGCA
rnacentral:rRNA from 1 species